UCCAAGUCAGAAGAUCAGGUAUGCCAGA
rnacentral:piRNA from 1 species